GAUGAACGCUAGCGGCAGGCUUAAUACAUGCAAGUCGAGGGGCAGCACAGAUAGCAAUAUUGGGUGGCGACCGGCAAACGGGUGCGGAACACGUACACAACCUUCCUUUUAGUGUGGGAUAGCCCAGAGAGAUUUGGAUUAAUACCACAUAGUAUAUUGGAGUGGCAUCACUUUGAUAUUAAAGAUUUAUCGCUAAAAGAUGGGUGUGCGUAUGAUUAGGUAGUUGGUAGAGGUAACGGCUCACCAAGCCUUCGAUCAUUAACUGGUGUGAGAGCACGACCAGUCACACGGGCACUGAGACACGGGCCCGACUCCUACGGGAGGCAGCAGUAAGGAAUAUUGGUCGAUGGACGGAAGUCUGAACCAGCCAUGCCGCGUGAAGGAUGGCGGCCCUCUGGGUUGUAAACUUCUUUUAUGUGGGACGAAAAAGGGCCAUUUUUGGUCAACUGACGGUACCAUAGGAAUAAGCACCGGCUAACUCCGUGCCAGCAGCCGCCGCGG
rnacentral:rRNA from 1 species